rnacentral:misc_RNA from 1 species
GGGAAGCUUCAAAAGCUGCAAAUAUUGUCUUUGCAUACAAACAUGUUGUCAGGACAAAUCCCUCAAUCCCUAGGUAACAUAACCCAACUGUAUGAGCUUUGGUUAGGAAGAAACAAAUUAAAAGGGAAUAUACCAUCAAGCAUCGCUCACUGCCAAAAUCUGCAUACCCUGGAUUUAGGAAACAAUAACCUGACUGGUAUCAUACCCCAACAAAUUCUUCAUCUAUCCUUUCUAUCACUAGUUCUUAACUUGUCAUAUAACUCGUUGGUAGGUCCGUUACCCAAAGAAGUUGGCCAACUGAAAAAUAUUGGUGCAUUAGAUGUCUCAGAGAGCAAACUGUCUGGGGAAAUUCCUGAGUCAAUAGGUGAAUGUUUGAGUCUAGAAUUCCUUUACAUGGUGGGC